AUAUAAUAUCUACAAUUCUAACAAUUAUGCUUGUGCCAACAUGUGAUUUUUAAUGUUCUCUUUGCUGUUAUUUUACACAAUGUUCGAAUUCGAUGCUAUAAAGGUCUAGAUAACCUUUACAUAUAGGCAAAACCAACAUUUCAUACAAUUACAAAGUCUUUUUCCCUUUCACAAACCUUUUUUAUCGCGGCAAAUUUUUUCACGUAUCCAUUGCAUCAGCAUUUGUCGAAAUUCAAUGACACACAGGACCGGUUUUAUCUUUAUCGUAGACUGUAGAUAAAUAUAAUCGCAGCACUGUGAAUACAUUAUGCACGUCGAGAUGUAUGUAGUUAAUAAUUGAAUUUUUCAAUAAAUGUAUAACGAAUAGGGAAACUAUAGGAACUAACUAGGAAAACUUGAGAUAAAAUACGAAACUUUAAGAAACAAAACGGUGACAUUAUGUAUUUUAGACUAUUGAUCGUAGACAUAUCAGCGAUGUAUCAUUAAGGAGGUAAAACAGGUAUUUAAUCGAUUUUGUAAGCGACUAAAUAACUCGUAGACAUCGUGCUUUUUUUUAUCGAUCAUGUCCAUAUAUCGUCAUUGAAUUGAAAACGGUGAUUAUUAUAGUACAAAUUUCGUAUGCGAUGGCUGUGACGGUCGUGAAGCGAGUGAGGAACGUUAUGUCGAAUUCUGGCGGUUGGUGUUACCAACGGGAAAUAACAUUUUAGCAAUCGUUCAUCAUUGUGAUCGCUCGAUCUAUUGAUAAAGACGGGAUGACUGUGAUACGUUCUAAUUAUUUGUUGUCAAUGCGUUUUAUUAUAAAGGUGCUUGAAAUUAUCUUCGAGAAGAAGGGGCUGAGAAGAUUAUCGUGAUUGACCGUAUUUAAAGAAAGAGAUGGAAAUACAUGUGACAAUUUGUUUCCGUAGAUAAAGAAACGUGCAUUCGAAUUUAG